rnacentral:rRNA from 1 species
GCAGUCGACGCUUCUUUCCUCCCGAGUGCUUGCACUCAAUUGGAAAGAGGAGUGGCGGACGGGUGAGUAACACGUGGGUAACCUACCCAUCAGAGGGGGAUAACACUUGGAAACAGGUGCUAAUACCGCAUAACAGUUUAUGCCGCAUGGCAUAAGAGUGAAAGGCGCUUUCGGGUGUCGCUGAUGGAUGGACCCGCGGUGCAUUAGCUAGUUGGUGAGGUAACGGCUCACCAAGGCCACGAUGCAUAGCCGACCUGAGAGGGUGAUCGGCCACACUGGGACUGAGACACGGCCCAGACUCCUACGGGAGGCAGCAGUAGGGAAUCUUCGGCAAUGGACGAAAGUCUGACCGAGCAACGCCGCGUGAGUGAAGAAGGUUUUCGGAUCGUAAAACUCUGUUGUUAGAGAAGAACAAGGACGUUAGUAACUGAACGUCCCCUGACGGUAUCUAACCAGAAAGCCACGGCUAACUACGUGCCAGCA